rnacentral:rRNA from 1 species
AACGAACGCUGGCGGCAUGCCUAACACAUGCAAGUCGAACGAGACCUUCGGGUCUAGUGGCGCACGGGUGCGUAACGCGUGGGAACCUGCCCUUAGGUUCGGAAUAACUCCCCGAAAGGGGUGCUAAUACCGGAUAAUGUCUUCGGACCAAAGAUUUAUGGCCUUUGGAUGGGCCCGCGUUGGAUUAGCUAGUUGGUAGGGUAAAAGCCUACCAAGGCGACGAUCCAUAGCUGGUCUGAGAGGAUGAUCAGCCACACUGGGGCUGAGACACGGCCCAGACUCCUACGGGAGGCAGCAGUGGGGAAUAUUGGACAAUGGGCGAAAGCCUGAUCCAGCAAUGCCGGGUGAGUGAUGAAGGCCUUAGGGUUGUAAAGCUCUUUUACCCGGGAUGAUAAUGACAGUACCGGGAGAAUAAGCACCGGCUAACUCCGUG